AGAGCGAGCGCUGGCGGCAGGCCUAACACAUGCAAGUCGAGCGCCCGUAGCAAUACGGGAGCGGCAGACGGGAUAGUAACACGUGGGAACGCGCCCUUCGGUUCGGAAUAACUCAGGGAAACUUGAGCUAAUACCGAAUACGCCCUUACGGGGAAAGAUUUAUUGCCGAAGGAACGGCCCGCGUCCGAUUAGCUAGUUGGUGAGGUAAUGGCUCACCAAGGCUACGAUCGGUAGCUGGUCUGAGAGGAUGACCAGCAUCACUGGGACUGAGACACGGCCCAGACUCCUACGGGAGGCAGCAGUGGGGAAUAUUGGACAAUGGGCGCAAGCCUGAUCCAGCCAUGCCGCGUGGAUGAUGAAGGCCUUAGGGUUGUAAAGUCCUUUUAACGGGGAAGAUAAUGACGGUACCCGUAGAAUAAGCCCCGGCUAACUUCGUGCCAGCAGCCGC
rnacentral:rRNA from 1 species